rnacentral:lncRNA from 1 species
AUGUUAAGAUCUCCUCAAUUUAAGGUAUACAGACGAGGAGGCAUACACAGGCCUCUACAUUAUGGACAAGACUUUACCCUCCUUAUACCUGAUGAAUAUAACAGGAAACCUGUUCGAUCACCAUGCACUGCAAAAUCAUUAGAGGUAUGGAUACGGAGAACAUCAACAUGCCAGAGGAUAUACCCAUUGGACUUGGGGCUCUGCUGGGAGUUUACCUCAAAUUUACAUUUUUUAAAUUCUGCUUUCCCACUAAAAUCCUAAUAAACACUGACGACUAAAAUAGUGUUAUUGUUGUUAUUGUAAUGCAUAUUAAUAAUAACAUGGGAAGAGGGGGUAGUUAAACAAACGUAGCCUAAAAGGUUCUUCAAAAGGUUCUUUGAGGAUCCAUUAAAAGGGGUUCUUUGAAGAACCCUUUUAAAAGGUUAUUCGAAGAACUUGUAGUGGUUCCCCCACAGUCUCAAUUUGAAUAACCCCUAAAGGAUCCUCCAGGAACCUUUACUUUUUAGAGUGUAGCAGGCAGCAGCCAGUGUCUUCAACAGUGUGAGAGAGAGCCCAGCUGAGAGAG